rnacentral:rRNA from 1 species
GGGUUCCUACGGGAGGCAGCAGUGGGGAAUAUUGGGCAAUGGGCGCAAGCCUGACCCAGCAACGCCGCGUGAAGGAAGAAGGCUUUCGGGUUGUAAACUUCUUUUCUCAGGGACGAAGAAAGUGACGGUACCUGAGGAAUAAGCCACGGCUAACUACGUGCCAGCAGCCGCGGUAAUACGUAGGUGGCAAGCGUUAUCCGGAUUUACUGGGUGUAAAGGGCGUGUAGGCGGGAGGGCAAGUCAGAUGUGAAAACCACGGGCUCGACCUGUGUCCUGCAUUUGAAACUGGACUUCUUGAGUACUGG